AUUGAACGCUGGCGGCACGCCUUACACAUUCAAGUCGAACGGUAACAGGUCUUCGGAUGCUGACGAGUGGCGAACGGGUGAGUAAUACAUCGGAACGUGCCUAGUAGUGGGGGAUAACUACUCGAAAGAGUGGCUAAUACCGCAUGAGAUCUACGGAUGGAAGCAGGGGAUCGCAAGACCUUGUGCUACUAGAGCGGCCGAUGGCAGAUUAGGUAGUUGGUGGGAUAAAAGCUUACCAAGCCGACGAUCUGUAGCUGGUCUGAGAGGACGAUCAGCCACACUGGGACUGAGACACGGCCCAGACUCCUACGGGAGGCAGCAGUGGGGAAUUUUGGACAAUGGGCGAAAGCCUGAUCCAGCAAUGCCGCGUGCAGGAUGAAGGCCUUCGGGUUAUAAACUGCUUUUGUACGGAACGAAAAGCCCCGGGUUAAUACCCUGGGGUCAUGACGGUGCCGUAAGAAUAAGCACCGGCUAACUACGUGCCAGCAGCCGCGGUAA
rnacentral:rRNA from 1 species